CGAUCCGGAUAAUUGCUGGCUUCGGCUAGAGGAAAGUCCAUGCUCGCACAGGCUGUGAUGCCUGUAGUGAUUGCGCUAGCGGAAAAAAUAACGCUAGGCACGCAGGAGUGCGUGACGGCGGUGAAUCACCUAAGGGAAACUAUGGUGUGAAACCUGAAAGUGCCACAGUGACGUAGCUUACGGGAAACCGUAAGGUGGAACGCGGUAAACCCCACAAGCGAGAAACCCAAAUUUUGGUAGGGGAGGCAGGAGGCGAGAAAUAGAAUCGUCUCAGGCAAGCAUUUGCUUAGAUAAAUAAUUAUCCUAGACAAAACAUGGCUUACAGGA
rnacentral:RNase_P_RNA from 1 species